AUGUAAACAAAGCCUUUGUUUGCAUACGGACUGUACCGCAUCUUUAAAGUAUAGCAUUAAUUAAUGAAAGGCAGUCAAAGAAAAGGCAUUGAGUGAUUGAGAAAGGGGAUGCGAUAACAUAUAAAACUUGAUAAACUUCUUAAUUGUUAAAGAUUGUCAGAAGUUCAGAACACUGUUUCCAUAAUUCAAUAAUUUUAUCACAUAUUAUACAAUAAUUAUAUUGUUUUUAAUUAAACCUUAUUGGCUGGUCGAAAUAGAAGUGAUUUGAUUAUGGUAAUCUGCCACCAUUCAGUACAGCCCUGCCCCACAGUAGGCGGAUCACACCACACUAAGGGGACGAUUACAUGGAGCACUUUUAACCACAGGUUUGAACUCAACCAUGUUUACAUAACUGGGUUGAAUAUUUUGGGAUUACAUGGACAAUCUCAACCCCAGGGUUGAAAUGCUAUACAUUCCCGGAAGUGAAAACAAAAACCAGCCUCAUCAAAUGCUUGAGUAACUCAUGAAUAAAAUUUUCAACCCAAGGCAAAGUCCAACCUGGGGUUGAAAUUUAACUCUGCUAGCUGAAGCAGGGUUGAACUUGGCCCUGAAUUGAAAAUUUUGAAAUCAUGCAUUUGAUUUUGAUAGCAUUUUGUAUUACAGACAAGGGCGAGGGUUCAGCCCAGGCCUCGUAGGUCCCAACUGUAGAUCUGUAGGAGACAAUCCCAGGGUAGAAAGUGCUCCAUGUAAUCAGCCCCUAAUUAACCCAUUAAAGCUUUGAUGUACUGUGAUUUGAAUUUAUUUCUGUUGAAUACCAGAUAGUAUAAUAUCAUGGCCUUUAUUCCUUUAAUUCACCAAUCUUGGUAUGAAAAUCGAGUGACCACAAAAAAUAUUUACAUGCAAUAUACCACUUUUGGAACAAAACAAGCAUAGACCAUUUUCAUAUGAUAGUGAAAAACUUAAAGAUUUUUUUUGCAUUUUAAAUUGCUUUUUGAGCCUUGGACCUCCUAGGUUAUCUUGAAUUUCUUCUACUUUCCAUAUUUGCAUAUUAUCUAAAUCUGCCAUCAGUUUUAAUUUCAAUACUGGACACACCAGCCACCUCGCCAGCCACUGAACUAACGUGUGUAAUUCGAAGCUUGUAGGUUGUUUAUCUGCAUGGUAUUUAUACGUUGAGAAUGCGACGCUCAGCCUUGGGAACUUCGUGUUUAUUGUAGGUAAAUUUUCAGUGGUACGCUACCAGUUAUAAAAUCUUUGGUUUGGGGUCUACAGAAGAUAGAUAUUUAAUACACAUGGGAUAUGUAAAUAUGCAAAUACAAUGCCCUCUUUCUUUACAUCUGAUCACACAAGCGCAUGCAUAAAAUGCAAAAUUUACAAUGGCUUCAAAUGACGCUCACAAAGGAAAAUCUUAUUUGUUUCUGAAGAUCUACCGUCUUUUCUCUAGUCCUUUAAAACAAUUCGAAGGCAUUCUUCGCGAGCAUUUCUCUUCUUGUUCACCAUCGGCUGUAGUCUCCUACGCAGACUACAUCGGCUGUGCCAACAACAGGGAUUUUAAAAAUUGCAAAUUCACGCGUUCUGCUGGUCGGACAGCCAUACAAAGCACAAUUAGAGCCAACCAUACUGUUCAAUAUUACUUCAAACGUUUAACCGUAUCCUGACAUACUAUAAAAACAACGGCAAAAAUACAAUUAUCCAAACGCGGUGUAUAAACAAAGCCUUCGUCCCCUCGAUCAUAAACUGUUCACGACGCUCGCUUUCUUCGAUAUUUUCAUCUCCAACGUUCAAAAUAGGUUCGUAUGUUUCUUCGCUUUCUGUUUCAAUUUCCAUCUUGAUCUCAGAAGCCCUCUAGCGCUUUGAAAUAUGAUCUUUUGUUGGCAUAUUAU